GAAAUGCGAUAACUAGUGUGAAUUGCAGAAUUCCGUGAAUCAUCGAGUCUUUGAACGCACAUUGCGCCCCCUGGUAUUCCGGGGGGCAUGCCUGUCCGAGCGUCAUUGCUGCCCAUCAAGCACGGCUUGUGUGUUGGGUCGUCGUCCCCUCUCCGGGGGGGGACGGGCCCCAAAGGCAGCGGCGGCACCGCGUCCGAUCCUCGAGCGUAUGGGGCUUUGUCACCCGCUCUGUAGGCCCGGCCGGCGCUUGCCGAACGCAAAUCAAUCUUUUUCCAGGUUGACCUCGGAUCAGGUAGGGAUACCCGCUGAACUUAAGC
rnacentral:misc_RNA from 1 species